rnacentral:rRNA from 1 species
CCUACGGGUGGCAGCAGUGAGGAAUAUUGGUCAAUGGACGAGAGUCUGAACCAGCCAAGUAGCGUGAAGGAUGACUGCCCUAUGGGUUGUAAACUUCUUUUAUAUGGGAAUAAAAUGUUCCACGUGUUGGCUUUUGUAUGUACCCUAUGAAUAAGGAUCGGCUAACCCCGUUCCAUCAGCCGCGGUAAUACGGAGGAUCCGAGCGUUAUCCGGAUUUACUGUGUUUAAAGGGAGCGUAGGUGGAUUGUUAAGUCAGGUGUGAAAGUUUGCGGCUCAACCGUAAAAUUGCAGUUGAAACUGGCAGUCUGGAGUACAGUAGAGGUGGGCGGAAUUCGAGGUGUAGCGGUGAAAUGCUUAGAUAUCACGAAGAACACCGAUUGCGAAGGCAGCUCACUGGACUGCAACUGACACUGAGGCGCGAAAGUGUGGGUAGCAAACAGGAUUAGAUACCCCAGUAGUC